UCGAGGGGCAGCGGGGUAGGAAGCUUGCUUUCUGCCGCCGGCGACCGGCGCACGGGUGAGUAACACGUAUGCAACCUGGCCGUGACAGAUGGAUAACCGGGAGAAAUCCCGCCUAAUACAACAUAAUGCCGGGAGGGGACAUCCCCUGCCGGCCAAAGGGGGCGACCCCGGUCACGGAUGGGCAUGCGGCGCAUUAGGUAGUUGGUGGGGCAACGGCCCACCAAGCCGACGAUGCGUAGGGGUUCUGAGAGGAAGGUCCCCCACAUUGGAACUGAGACACGGUCCAAACUCCUACGGGAGGCAGCAGUGAGGAAUAUUGGUCAAUGGCCGGAAGGCUGAACCAGCCAAGUCGCGUGAGGGAAUAAGGCCCUACGGGUCGUAAACCUCUUUUGCCAGGGAGCAAUGCCGUCCACGUGUGGACGGAAGGAGAGUACCUGGAGAAAAAGCAUCGGCUAACUCCGUGCCAGCAGCCGCGGUAAUACGGAGGAUGCGAGCGUUAUCCGGAUUUAUUGGGUUUAAAGGGUGCGUAGGCGGUCCGUUAAGUCAGCGGUAAAAUUGCGGGGCUCAACCCCGUCGAGCCGUUGAAACUGGCAGACUUGAGUUGGCGAGAAGUACGCGGAAUGCGCGGUGUAGCGGUGAAAUGCAUAGAUAUCGCGCAGAACUCCGAUUGCGAAGGCAGCGUACCGGCGCCAGACUGACGCUGAGGCACGAAAGCGUGGGGAUCGAACAGGAUUAGAUACCCUGGUAGUCCACGCAGUAAACGAUGAAUGCUGGUUGUCCGGGUCGAAUGAGACCUGGGCGGCGAAGCGAAAGCGAUAAGCAUUCCACCUGGGGAGUACGCCGGCAACGGUGAAACUCAAAGGAAUUGACGGGGGCC
rnacentral:rRNA from 1 species